rnacentral:rRNA from 1 species
GCAAGUCGAACGAGAAGCAGGAGCUUGCUCCUGUGGAAAGUGGCAGACGGGUGAGUAACGCGUGGGAAUUUACCCAUUGGUACGGAAUAACUCAGGGAAACUUGUGCUAAUACCGUAUAAGCCCUUCGGGGGAAAGAUUUAUCGCCAAUGGAUGAGCCCGCGUUAGAUUAGUUUGUUGGUGGGGUAAUGGCCUACCAAGACUAUGAUCAAUAGCUGAUUUGAGAGGAUGAUC